rnacentral:rRNA from 1 species
UACGUAGGGUGCGAGCGUUAAUCGGAAUUACUGGGCGUAAAGCGUGCGCAGGCGGUUUUGUAAGCCAGAUGUGAAAUCCCCGGGCUUAACCUGGGAAUGGCAUUUGGGACUGCAAGGCUUGAGUGCGGCAGAGGAGACUGGAAUUCCUGGUGUAGCAGUGAAAUGCGUAGAUAUCAGGAGGAACACCGAUGGCGAAGGCAGGUCUCUGGGCUGACACUGACGCUCAUGCACGAAAGCGUGGGGAGCAAACGAG